GGAUGUGAGGGCGAUCUGGCUGCGACAUCUGUCACCCCAUGGAUUGCCAGGGUUGAUUCGGCUGAUCCGGCUGGCUAGGCGGGUGUCCCCUUCCUCCCUCACUUCUCCAUGUGCGUCCCUCCCGGAAGCUGCGCUCUCUGUGGAAGAGGACUACCAUCCCCGACACAGGAGGGCCAGUCUUCCCUCAAGGGUAUACGAGCAGCUGCGCUCCCUGCUAGAACCUCCAAGCAAGCUCUCAGGAAUCACAGAGAAGGUAAGAAACUUUCCCAAGGACAGUUGACACCUUGGGUUUGCUCUGGGCAGUC
rnacentral:snRNA from 1 species